GUCAUGGAAUGACUCCUUUCUUGUUCUGAAAGUUAUUUUUAAGACUUGUGACGAGACUAGAAGAAAUAGUUCGGAGAAGAAGGGGAAGACGAUAGUUGUUAUCUACGUAAUAGCAGUUCACUUAAAGCGACGACAGUCGCUAACAGUUUAGCAGUUUGCUUGCAGUUCCUGCAUUUCUAUGUUGAGAUGGGAACUAUUUAGAUAAUCCUUAAGGAAUUAUCCCACACAGUUGUUGAAUUUCUCUUCACUUUCCAAUGAUGGUCCACGACAGUGUCACAAUAAAGGAACCAACAUGAGUUAAA
rnacentral:lncRNA from 1 species